UUUGCACUUUUGCAUAAAUUACUCAGUUUGUUGGCUGUCACGCCUCCAUAGGUUUUCUGUCUGAUUAUAUAAAAUCAGGAUAACUCGGGACUAACCAGAGAAAUGAUUCCAAGCAACCAUGAUGUAUUUGCCUUUAAAAGGCCAGUGGUUCUUAAAAAUGGGGAUUCUGGGUCAGCCUGUAGCAGAAUUACCUGUGGGGCCUGUUGAGAGUGCCUGUUUUUGACAAACCUACCAAGCUAAAAUCAAAUCAGUCCUAUAUUUUGAAAAGGUAACUAUAAUCAAAAGAAAUGUUCUCCUUUUUUGAGAUACUGAAACUGCAAUGAAGAGCUUGUCUCUUAAAAUAGUUAUGAGAAAAAAAAAUAGUUAUGAGAAAUGCCAUAAUAUCAGGCUCCACAUUUAUGGGAUGUUUUUUAUGAAACCCAGAUCAAUAUUUUAACAAGACUUGAGGAAUGCAAAUAUUAAUAGGCUAUCUAGCAUGAACAGAUGUAAAUAGGAGUGUAUUUGAGCAACCAUGGUUUUUUAAGGGAGCUAGGAAUUUACAGUGCAAUCCUACAGGGAAAGAAGGGAGAGAAAACUGCUAUUUUGAGCUGCACACAGAUGAACUGCAUCACAUCUGAGCUUUGAUAGUCCCCUCUCCUCACUAUUCUUGUUGCACAGGAAAACUACAUGAUUAAAGGUAACUUGAUGUAAAAAAGAUACUUAACUGUAUAAGUCAGGGAAUCAUGAUAACCACUUUCCAAGAUUAGGGGAGUGUGUGGGUGUGUGUGGGUGGGUGUGUGUGUGUCCGGGGUGGGUUCACCUGGCCAGAGGAGUUAAAAUAACAAUGGGAUUAACAAUGUUCAAGAAAAUUUGUAUCAAAAAGGAAGUUAUUUGUCUGCAUGAUGGGUUCAACAUAAACAAUCUGAUACUGCUACCCAAGUGACCCUCUUUGGUAGGCUUUAAAAAUUUUUUUUAACAGUUACAUUAGUAAUCUGUGAACCCAACCAUUAACUGGAAAAUAGUCGAGGGGAAUCCAGGUGCAAAAAGCAGGUUCUUUGUACUUAAGGAAUACAGCUUCAAAACACCUCCAAAGUAUGGAUUAAAAUAGCAAUUCACCUUAUCACCUACCCCGGACUAAGAGCCCCACCUAUAAGACUUCCCCUGAUUCCCCAGGGAAGAGGGUCACAGUUCUUGAGGUGCUGUCAUGCUGUUUUCCCGUUUCCCUGGCAAAGAUAAAGCUAUUGUUUUUUUCCUCAAAAAAAAAAAAUCCUCAGAAUCCUUCCUUUUCUGAUGGUUUCAUGGAACCAAAUUAUUUAUGGUAAGAUUCUUUUGUUUCAAGCUCCCAGAAAGUAAGCUUAAAUGGCCUUAACCUGAGUUUUCUCCAGAGAUACUUCCCUCGAUCCCAAAGACAUAGAGAUUGAUUUUGUGCCGUGACCUUUUGACAGCCCCAUAAAGCCUAUGAUCCCUUCUCGGCAUGCUGUAAAUGUGCUUUACGUAGUGCACACACAACUCUGAAUUCUAUCUGCGGACUCCUGGUUAGAAAUCCUUUGACAGGGGUCACAAUUAUGAGAAGGCUACGUAAUGAGGCGUGUAACUGCUGUUACCCCAGCACCCUGUUCUGGAACCCCUUCUCUCAACUGACUUCGGAGAAACUAGCUCGCUUCAAAGUGGCUGAGGUGAGAAGCCACAGUGGGGAAUUUUUCUUUAGUUGGAAACGGAAAGAGAAAGAAGUUAGCCCUCUUCAGUCUGACCAGUCUAGAGGAGGGAGAGGUUCUGUCACCCAGUUUUGGCCUUUUGUGGAAAUAGCCCCUUUCACUGUAUACAUGAUAAACGGGCUUAAUCAUAACUAUGGACACACCCAAGACCCCCUUUCUCUUCAUCGAGAUCUCGCUCGCUCUUGGUGGGGCGGUAUUUGCCCUCAUGACCUCUACCAAGCCGUCCAAACAUUGGCUUCCCCGUCUGGAAGAGCGAGCUGUGAGUGUCUGCGCAGCAGAUUUAGGCUCGAGGCCUGGCCGUCGGCCCAAACGAGUCGGUACCUGGAGUUUUCGUCAGGGUGGCCGGCUAGCCAGCGCCGUCAAGAGCGUAAGCGGCCCGCUUCCUGCGUCGCAGGGGCACCGCCCUCGCGGCCGGGGGAGGGGUCGGCGCCAGAAAGCCGCUCUCCCCUCCCCAGAGCCUUCCUGGCGGCCGGCGGCCAGCAGUACUGCAGGGCCGGAGGCGGGGAGGGCCGUCCCGCGCAGCCGCUGCGCCGCUGGAGUAGCCGCCCCGCCCGCCUCGUCGCGGAGGAGCCCCAGAAACGCACUUCCACCGCGGCCGAGCCCACUUCCGCCUGCUGCUUCCUGGGGCCGCCAGGCCUGAGCUUUAGCUUCUCCGGAAUUCAUUAUCCUGCUUAACACCCUGUAAAGCCAUCCUCUCCUCGUUCUUUCCAAAACCCGUAUAAUGCCGCUUCCACUUCGUGGCGCACACUGCUCAAACUGAACCCGGCGCAACCGCCAUCUUCGGAAAUGCUGGUAGCUGUCGGGAAAAUGGAGAUGAAUGAAGAGCUAGACAGGCCUCUUCCCAGGUUACCCUACCCUUUCCAGGUUACUCUUCCCUUUCCCUUCACACUCUUCACUUUGCCCUUCAACAGGCAGGGCAAAGAGAAAUUUGAAAACCUGGCUGAAAGGCACUUUGAAUAGAAAUCAGUAGAGACAAAUUACAAAUUGCUCAGUAUAAAGCAUGAGGGUUUUGUUUUUGUUUUUAAUUGAGGGGCUAAAAAUACAGCUGCUUAAUUGUCAUAAACUGCAUCGUACUCUUUCUGGGAUGGCCUUUUGGCUUGAGUCCGUUACUGAUUAUGUAUCUUGUAGCACUGUGGGAACUGCAUUAUCAGAACAGUUUUAAAGUCACAGCUUGCGUAUUUGGUGCCCUCUAGUGCACUAUUUUCAAAUGACAAAAGCAUAGUUUAUCGGUGCCAAGCUGUUAACUGAAGAGGAUAAAAUGUACAUUUCAAUCCACCUUCCCAGUGUGAUUGAUCUUCUUUUCCUGACAUCCAAAGACACUGAUUCCUCUCUGCACAUACACAUUAUUUCAUAUCAUGACACUCACUAGGCUGUGACCUUGCACUAACUAGUUCCUUCAUCUCUGGGCUUCAAUUUCCUCAUCUGUAAAACGAGGAUGAUAAUCGUCAGAACUGUAAUGUGGACGCCCUGCACACACGGGGGGCGCACUCACUGCUAGCUAUCUUUUUUUUACAUUUAAUAGAUCAGUCGAUACUAAACAUGCUUGAAGACAGUAAUCAAUCUUGACUCAGGUAUCAUAAUCUGGUGGUUGGGGAAUGUGAAGAACGUUAAUGAGUAGCUUAAAAGAUAAAGAACAGAAGUCUAGGUGUGAUUCUCAUCUCUGAUCCCAUGUUACUGAGUCAGUUCAUUCCAAUUCUCAAGUCUGGAAGCAUGGUAAAUUUCUCUGCAUCCUUCACAGUACCUGUAAUUACAUACCCUUAAGAAAUAUUUGUCUUGUUUUAAUGUUCAAGGUAAAUGGUGUUCUGGUUGAACCUAGAAAAUACAGAAAAUGCUGAAUGAUAGAAAAUAGUUAGUUUAAAGGUUUAAAGAUUUGGAUUCAAACUUGUUUUGUAAGCCAGAGGUUUCAAAUGCCUCUUUCUGGAUUUAGUGUGGUUUCUCAGUGGGCUGUGGACAGUUUCUCUGUUAUCAGGGUACAGUGUGAAGGCAUGACUGACUCUGGAACCCAUGUGAAUCAGCAUUUACAAAUCGAUAAGAGGAGACCUUAUCUAGUUUUCCUGCAUUGACAGACUUGGACUUUGAUGCUUAACUUCACUACCUCCUAGAUUCCCCAAGAGCCCAGUUACCUGAAGAAAGCACUGGGUGCUUCUGACCCCGUGAAUGCCUCUGGAGUCUUUGGUCUUGUAUGUAAUAAAUGUCC